ensembl:lncRNA
GGGGGAAGAGUCAAAUCUGUCAUAAUGAAGACUGAGGAGGCGGAGUGUCAGAGACCGAGGAGGAGAAUGGUCGGUCCGACAGUCAGAUACCUGCUGGAGUCUGAGCAGCAGUCACAUGGGCCAACAGAGGCCAAUCACAGCAGAGCAAGCAGAGACGUGGGGAGGAGGAAGACGGGGAGGCCGAAGAAGGAGCAGAAGGAGCUGGAUGACAGCAGCACAAUGGAGUCCUCAGCAGACGGAGGAGCAGAGAGAUGGUGGAAGCUCUGCCAGGUGUGUGGUCUGAACUUCACCAGCCAGCCGUCUCUGGAUCUCCAUCUGUCCGUCCACAGACCGGCUUCGAGCUGCGCACAAGCUGCUGCUGACCAACAGCAAGAACAAACCAAUGACGCGAAGGGUGAUGCAGAGGAGAGGGAGGAGCCUCAGAGGCCAAGGAGGACAGUCUGCCAACCAAUCAGGCGUCUGUCCUCCACAGACCGAAGCGAGUGUUCGGCUGUCACAUCUGCAACAGAAAGUUCAGCCGUGCCAGCAGACUGUUCCUGCAUCAUUGCGAUCAGCACCGCAGCAUCUUAGACAGUCCCCACGGCAACAGAGUUGGCAUGGCCAUGAGCAGUGCUCGAGCUUCUGAUAGCAAACUGAAAGAAGGAACCCAGGGUAACGACGAGAAUGGGGAGGAGUCUCAGCGGCAGCGGAGGACUAGAGUUGGCCCACCAAUCAGAUACCUGCUGGAGUCAGAGGAGCCGUCACGUGGUCUUAGAGCAGCCAAUCAGAGUGCAGCAACCAAACCCACACAAAGGAAAGGAAGAAUGAAGGCUGGUGGCCUCACUAAGGCUGGGGGCGGGACUUCACAGAUAAUUGAUAGGUUUGAGGCUGCUGUUGCCACAGAGAGACAGACAGGUGUGCACAGACAGACUUACCUGGUUCACAGAGACCUGCAGGAUGGUCAGGUGACCAUCUCCCCCUGCUCUGUCACAAUGCAGCGCCUCCUCUGAUUGGCUGAUGACAUUCUUGUUAACCAUGUUUGUUGUAAUUUUUUGGUUUGGUUUCAGUGAUUUUAGGUGUGUGUCACACUCUUUGUUUUUGAACAAUAAAAUGAAAUAAUGUCCAGCUCC